rnacentral:rRNA from 1 species
GAUGAACGCUGGCGGCGUGCCUAAUACAUGCAAGUCGAGCGAACAGACGAGGAGCUUGCUCCUCUGACGUUAGCGGCGGACGGGUGAGUAACACGUGGAUAACCUACCUCUAAGACUGGGAUAACUUCGGGAAACCGGAGCUAAUACCGGAUAAUAUAUUGAACCGCAUGGUUCAAUAGUGAAAGACGGUUUUGCUGUCACUUAUAGAUGGAUCCGCGCCGCAUUAGCUAGUUGGUAAGGUAACGGCUUACCAAGGCAACGAUGCGUAGCCGACCUGAGAGGGUGAACGGCCACACUGGAACUGAGACACGGUCCAGACUCCUACGGGAGGCAGCAGUAGGGAAUCUUCCGCAAUGGGCGAAAGCUUGACGGAGCAACGCCGCGUGAGUGAUGAAGGUCUUCGGAUCGGAAAACUCUGUUAUUAGGGAAGAACAAAUGUGUAAGUAACUAUGCACGUCUUGACGGUACCUAAUCAGAAAGCCACGGCUAACUACGUG